ACGCUAGCGGCAGGCCUAAUACAUGCAAGUNNAGGGGUACUCACACUUUCGGGUGUGAACGACCGGCGCACGGGUGCGUAACGCGUAUGCAACCUACCCACAACUGGGGGAUAGCCCGGAGAAAUCCGGAUUAAUACCCCAUAAUGCAUUGAUACCGCAUGGUAUUAUUUGCUAAAGAUUUAUCGGUUGUGGAUGGACAUGCGUCUGAUUAGUUAGUUGGUGAGGUAACGGCUCACCAAGGCAACGAUCAGUAGGGGGUCUGAGAGGAUGAUCCCCCACACUGGUACUGAGAUACGGACCAGACUCCUACGGGAGGCAGCAGUAGGGAAUAUUGGUCAAUGGGCGCAAGCCUGAACCAGCCAUGCCGCGUGCAGGAUGACGGCCUUCUGGGUUGUAAACUGCUUUUAUCAGGGAAGAAAACGGCCAUGCGUGGCAGAUUGACGGUACCUGAAGAAUAAGCACCGGCUAACUCCGUGCCAGCAGCCGCGGUAAUACGGAGGGUGCAAGCGUUGUCCGGAUUUAUUGGGUUUAAAGGGUGCGUAGGCGGGAUUAUUAAGUCAGUGGUGAAAGUUUGCGGCUCAACCGUAAAAGUGCCAUUGAUACUGGUAGUCUUGAGUACAGUAGAGGUAGGCGGAAUUUAUGGUGUAGCGGUGAAAUGCAUAGAUACCAUAAAGAACACCGAUAGCGAAGGCAGCUUACUAUACUGAGACUGACGCUGAGGCACGAAAGCGUGGGGGAGCGGAACAGGAUUUAGAUACCCUGGUAGUCCCACGGCUGGUAAACGAUGAAAAGACUCGCUGGUUGGGCGAAUUACACAGGCC
rnacentral:rRNA from 1 species